GACGAACGCUGGCGGCGUGCUUAACACAUGCAAGUCGAACGGAAAGGCCCUUCGGGGUACUCGAGUGGCGAACGGGUGAGUAACACGUGGGUGAUCUGCCCUGCACUUUGGGAUAAGCCUGGGAAACUGGGUCUAAUACCGGAUAGGACUACGGCCUGCAUGGGUUGUGGUGGAAAGCUUUUGCGGUGUGGGAUGGGCCCGCGGCCUAUCAGCUUGUUGGUGGGGUGAUGGCCUACCAAGGCGACGACGGGUAGCCGGCCUGAGAGGGUGACCGGCCACACUGGGACUGAGAUACGGCCCAGACUCCUACGGGAGGCAGCAGUGGGGAAUAUUGCACAAUGGGCGCAAGCCUGAUGCAGCGACGCCGCGUGGGGGAUGACGGCCUUCGGGUUGUAAACCUCUUUCAGUAGGGACGAAGCGUAAGUGACGGUACCUAUAGAAGAAGCACCGGCCAACUACGUGCCAGCAGCCGCGGUAAUACGUAGGGUGCGAGCGUUGUCCGGAAUUACUGGGCGUAAAGAGCUCGUAGGUGGUUUGUCGCGUUGUUCGUGAAAACUCACAGCUUAACUGUGGGCGUGCGGGCGAUACGGGCAGACUAGAGUACUGCAGGGGAGACUGGAAUUCCUGGUGUAGCGGUGGAAUGCGCAGAUAUCAGGAGGAACACCGGUGGCGAAGGCGGGUCUCUGGGCAGUAACUGACGCUGAGGAGCGAAAGCGUGGGGAGCGAACAGGAUUAGAUACCCUGGUAGUCCACGCCGUAAACGGUGGGUACUAGGUGUGGGUUUCCUUCCUUGGGAUCCGUGCCGUAGCUAACGCAUUAAGUACCCCGCCUGGGGAGUACGGCCGCAAGGCUAAAACUCAAAGGAAUUGACGGGGGCCCGCACAAGCGGCGGAGCAUGUGGAUUAAUUCGAUGCAACGCGAAGAACCUUACCUGGGUUUGACAUGCACAGGACGCCGGCAGAGAUGUCGGUUCCCUUGUGGCCUGUGUGCAGGUGGUGCAUGGCUGUCGUCAGCUCGUGUCGUGAGAUGUUGGGUUAAGUCCCGCAACGAGCGCAACCCUUGUCUCAUGUUGCCAGCACGUUAUGGUGGGGACUCGUGAGAGACUGCCGGGGUCAACUCGGAGGAAGGUGGGGAUGACGUCAAGUCAUCAUGCCCCUUAUGUCCAGGGCUUCACACAUGCUACAAUGGCCGGUACAAAGGGCUGCGAUGCCGUAAGGUGGAGCGAAUCCUUGAAAGCCGGUCUCAGUUCGGAUCGGGGUCUGCAACUCGACCCCGUGAAGUCGGAGUCGCUAGUAAUCGCAGAUCAGCAACGCUGCGGUGAAUACGUUCCCGGGCCUUGUACACACCGCCCGUCACGUCAUGAAAGUCGGUAACACCCGAAGCCGGUGGCCUAACCCCUUGUGGGAGGGAGCUGUCGAAGGUGGGAUCGGCGAUUGGGACG
rnacentral:rRNA from 1 species